rnacentral:rRNA from 1 species
UGAACGCUGGCGGCGUGCCUAAUACAUGCAAGUCGAGCGAACAGAUGAGGAGCUUGCUCCUCUGACGUUAGCGGCGGACGGGCGAGUAACACGUGGAUAACCUACCUAUAAGACUGGGAUAACUUCGGGAAACCGGAGCUAAUACCGGAUAAUAUAUUGAACCGCAUGGUUCAAUAGUGAAAGACGGUUUUGCUGUCACUUAUAGAUGGAUCCGCGCCGCAUUAGCUAGUUGGUAAGGUAACGGCUUACCAAGGCAACGAUGCGUAGCCGACCUGAGAGGGUGAUCGGCCACACUGGAACUGAGACACGGUCCAGACUCCUACGGGAGGCAGCAGUAGGGAAUCUUCCGCAAAGGGCGAAAGCCUGACGGAGCAACGCCGCGUGAGUGAUGAAGGUCUUCGGAUCGUAAAACUCUGUUAUUAGGGAAGAACAAAUGUGUAAGUAACUAUGCACGUCUUGACGGUACCUAAUCAGAAAGCCACGGCUAACUACGUG